CCCAUCUCAUGUUUUCUCACGCACGCACAUUUUUCCCCACGGCGUGGCCACAAGUGAAGCUUUGGUCAGUCAAACGAAUAGAAUUGAUAACUGCUAAGCCAGAAUUCAGCAUCGCUAGACGGCUAUAUGUAAUCAACUUGUCACUCAGAGCCAGUUAGAGUUAUGUCGAGGGAUGUUACAACGUCGAAUAAUGAGCCAGGAAAAUAACUGAGUCGAGCUUGUUGGUCUGAAAUUCCCCCACAUAAGGAUUUUAUUUUGAAAUCAUAAGCUGCAUGAAAAUGAAUUUCUUCAGUAACUUGCAUUUAUAAAGAAAAUACU